rnacentral:rRNA from 1 species
GAUGAACGCUGGCGGCGUGCCUAAUACAUGCAAGUCGAGCGAACAGAUAAGGAGCUUGCUCCUUUGACGUUAGUGGCGGACGGGUGAGUAACACGUGGGUAACCUACCUAUAAGACUGGGAUAACUUCGGGAAACCGGAGCUAAUACCGGAUAAUAUUUCGAACCGCAUGGUUCGAUAGUGAAAGAUGGUUUUGCUAUCACUUAUAGAUGGACCCGCGCCGUAUUAGCUAGUUGGUAAGGUAACGGCUUACCAAGGCGACGAUACGUAGCCGACCUGAGAGGGUGAUCAGCCACACUGGAACUGAGACACGGUCCAGACUCCUACGGGAGGCAGCAGUAGGGAAUCUUCCGCAAUGGGCGAAAGCCUGACGGAGCAACGCCGCGUGAGUGAUGAAGGUCUUCGGAUCGUAAAACUCUGUUAUUAGGGAAGAACAUACGUGUAAGUAACUGUGCACGUCUUGACGGUACCUAAUCAGAAAGCCACGGCUAACUACGUG